GUUAAAUGAUAAACAUUUAGUUCAUAACUUACUUUUCUUUUCUGCCUCUUUCAAAAAUAGUCUCGGUCAAGACAAGAAGAUCCAGAACAGUUAAGGCUGAAACAGAAGGCAAAGGAGAUGCAGCAACAGGAACUGGCACAAAUGAGACAGCGGGACGCCAACCUCACAGCACUAGCAGCGAUCGGGCCCAGGAAAAAGAGGAAAGUGGACUGUCCGGGGCCGGGCUCGGGAGCAGAGGGGUCGGGCCCCGGCUCAGUGGUCCCAGGCAGCUCGGGUGUCGGAACCCCCAGACAGUUCACGCGACAAAGAAUCACGCGGGUCAACCUCAGGGACCUCAUAUUUUGUUUAGAAAAUGAACGUGAGACAAGCCAUUCACUGCUGCUCUACAAAGCAUUCCUUAAGUGACACAGGAGGACGCCUGGGGACUUUUUAUAUAUUUGCAGAUUACGCCUUUUUGUAACAAGCAAAUGGGAUAUUGUUUAAAAAACAGCCACCUCUUUACAAUGGAACAGUUUUAUAUUCCUGUUUCUAAAUCAGCUCUUCAGUGUGAAAGAAAACACGUUUCUGUAACAGAGAGAACACAAAGGCCUGUGGAUACUCUUAAAGGACAACUAAAUCUUAACUCAUCUUGAUUGAGUGGCCUUCUUGCCAAACAAGCCAUAUAUAAAGACUGAUGGAAUCGUUAGCAAAUAAUUAGCUGCCCUCUGUCAACUCAUAGCAGUUUCUGCAUUAUUUGUGCAUUUUGGUUUAGUUCUACCUAACUUACUAUGUAGGUGUAUGUCUACAGCCGAUGACCUCAUUUCGUUUAUUUUAUUUUUGUAAUAGUCAGUUGGCAAAGCAAACUGAUUUUUUAGACUAUUUAUCUUCCUUCCCUUCCCCUCCCACCCCGCUCUCCUCUCUGCCCCCUGCCCUCCCCUCCUCUCCCUUCCCCUCCACUCCGCUGAGAAUCCUGGAGGAAUACACAAUUCAUCGUUGCACCCCCACCUCAGAGUGUAAUUGCAUUUCUGCUUGGUAGAGGCCGAGCCCAGCAAAGGUGGCUCCUUCUGAAUGUGUGGUCAGCAUCUGUACAAAUGCAUUUUAUUUGCUAUAGUUUGUAAAGCUGUAAAGUUAAAAGAGAUGAAAACCUUUUCAGCAUAAAUAUAUUUUACUUGCACUGUGUUUUUUAGCUAAAAGUGAAAACCUAGAUUAAAUAAAAUCAAAGUUGAGAAGAAUCAUCAAAAGACUGUUUCUCGGUGUGAAUCAAGUGUUGAAAAAUGGUUGGUGUAUUUUGUCAGUAAUUGUACAUAACUUUUGGCACAUGACAUAGAAAUGGCUAUGUAAACUAUAAUUAUUUUGCUAAGAGACUGUAUGCAAGCCUUGGGCCGACUUUACAGACGUCCAGAGCAAAGCCCCUUCUUUGUACCUAUUUUUUUAUUACAAAUAUACUAAUUGGUUCUUUCUAUUUUCAGAGGUUAUUGUAUGAAAUUGUCUAUUGAUAGUACUUUUAUGACUGUAAAUACUCCGGCUUUCUCCGUGUGAAUUCUCACAUUAGACUUUAAUUCGAGCGCGUGUGAACUGAACGCUGAUCAGUAUUUUUUAUCAACACCUGAGAACUGUUACACCUUUUAUUUUGUCUUUUAGGAAAUCCCUGUCUUUCCAUUUUUUCAUGUAAAUUUUGC
rnacentral:lncRNA from 1 species